CUCCUGAGUCACAGGCACGUCAGAUACUUUUCAUAUCAUAUCUAAGACUCAUGACAACUGUACAAAGCUUGGAACUGACUUUGCAAAGGCUUUUUGCAAAAGCUUUUUUCCUGCCUUUGUCAUAAGGCAACUAGGAUGCAGAAAGGUCAAAUAGCAUGUUCAAGGUCAUGCAGGUAGGAAGUGGUGGAAGAAGGAUUCAUAUAGAAGUUUCUCCACAACCUACAUUCUUUUAAUAAAUCUUCAUGGCCUAUUUUAUCACUCAGAAUUUAAAUGCCUGCAUCCCCCAUCAUAGUUGAGUUAUGGAAAGACAAAGUCUUUUCUAUCUUACUUUUUCCCCAGACCUAAGAAAAUGCCUGACAUAGUAGGUAUGUUUGCUGAGUGGAUGAAUAAAUAGGAAUGAAUAGGCAGGGCUGAGGGCAAUCUGCUUCCAAAAUUGAUGCCGCACACCCACUUCCCUGCAGAACUCCAGUUUUUCAUAAUGUAUUUCAGUUUAAUUCAAUAAAUAUUUU
rnacentral:lncRNA from 1 species